rnacentral:rRNA from 1 species
CAAGUCGAACGAUGAUCUCCAGCUUGCUGGGGGGAUUAGUGGCGAACGGGUGAGUAACACGUGAGUAACCUGCCCUUGACUCUGGGAUAAGCCUGGGAAACUGGGUCUAAUACCGGAUAUGACUGCUCCGCGCAUGCGGUGGUGGUGGAAAGCUUUUGCGGUUUUGGAUGGACUCGCGGCCUAUCAGCUUGUUGGUGGGGUAAUGGCCUACCAAGGCGACGACGGGUAGCCGGCCUGAGAGGGUGACCGGCCACACUGGGACUGAGACACGGCCCAGACUCCUACGGGAGGCAGCAGUGGGGAAUAUUGCACAAUGGGCGAAAGCCUGAUGCAGCGACGCCGCGUGAGGGAUGACGGCCUUCGGGUUGUAAACCUCUUUCAGUAGGGAAGAAGCGUAAGUGACGGUACCUGCAGAAGAAGCGCCGGCUAACUACGUGCCAGCAGCCGCGGUAAUACGUAGGGCGCAAGCGUUAUCCGGAAUUAUUGGGCGUAAAGAGCUCGUAGGCGGUUUGUCGCGUCUGCUGUGAAAGACCGGGGCUCAACUCCGGUUCUGCAGUGGGUACGGGCAGACUAGAGUGAUGUAGGGGAGACUGGAAUUCCUGGUGUAGCGGUGAAAUGCGCAGAUAUCAGGAGGAACACCGAUGGCGAAGGCAGGUCUCUGGGCAUUAACUGACGCUGAGGAGCGAAAGCAUGGGGAGCGAACAGGAUUAGAUACCCUGGUAGUCCAUGCCGUAAACGUUGGGCACUAGGUGUGGGGGACAUUCCACGUUUUCCGCGCCGUAGCUAACGCAUUAAGUGCCCCGCCUGGGGAGUACGGCCGCAAGGCUAAAACUCAAAGGAAUUGACGGGGGCCCGCACAAGCGGCGGAGCAUGCGGAUUAAUUCGAUGCAACGCGAAGAACCUUACCAAGGCUUGACAUGAACUAGUAAA